UAGGGAAUAUUAGUAAUGGGCGAAAGCCUGAACUAGCAACACCGCGUGUGCGAAGAAGGCCUUCGGGUUGUAAAGCAAUUUUUGAGAGGAUGAGGAAGGACGGUACUCUCAGAAUAAGUCUCGGCUAACUACGUGCCAGCAGCCGCGGUAACACGUAGGAGGCAAACGUUAUCCGGAUUUACUGGGCGUAAAGCGCGUGUAGGUGGUUUGGUAGGUAGAGCGUGAAAGCUCCUGGCUCAACUGGGAGAGGUCGUUCUAAACUGCCUGACUAGAGGAUGGUAGAGGGAGGUGGAAUUCCGGGUGUAGCGGUGGAAUGCGCAGAUAUCCGGAGGAACACCAGUGGCGAAAGCUGCCUCCUGUACCACUCCUGACACUCAGACGCGAAAGCUAGGGUAGCAAACG
rnacentral:rRNA from 1 species